CGUAGACGGUUUUGUAAGUCAGAUGUGAAAUCCCUGGGCCCAACCUGGGAACUGCAUUUGAAACUGCAUGGCUAGAGUAUCGAAGAGGGAAGUGGAAUUUCCGGUGUAGCGGUGAAAUGCGUAGAUAUCGGAAGGAACACCAGUGGCGAAAGCGACUUCCUGGUCGAAUACUGACGUUCAUGUGCGAAAGCGUGGGGAGCAAACA
rnacentral:rRNA from 1 species